ensembl:lncRNA
GCUAGUCAGAGCACAGGGAGGAGGGGCUAGUCAGAGCACAGGAAGGAGGGGCUAGUCAGAGCACAGGGAUGUGGGGCUAGUCAGAGCACAGGUAGGAGGGGCUAGUCAGAGCACAGGGAGGAGGGGCUAGUCAGAGCACAGGAAGGAGGGGCUAGUCAGAGCACAGGGAUGUGGGGCUAGUCAGAGCACAGUGAGGAGGGGCUAGUCAGAGCACAGGGAUGUGAGGCUAGUCAGAGCACAUGGAGGAGGGGCUAGUCAGAGCACAGGGAAGAGGGGCUAGUCGGAGCACAGGGAUGAGGGGCAAGUCAGAGCACAGGAAGGAGGGGCUAGUCAGAGCACAGGGAUGUGGGGCUGGUCAGAGCACAGGGAGGAGGGGCUAGUCAGAGCAGAGUGAGGAGGGGCUAGUCAGAGCACAGGGAGGAGGGGCUACUCAGAGCACAGGAAGGAGGGGC